GCAGGGGCAGCAGCAGCAGCAGUGCCAGGGGCAGUAGAAGCGGUGGCAGGAGGCCGUACCGGUGGCAGCAAAGUUGCAGGUUUUGUUUCUGGUUUUGCAGCAGUUGGAGCAAUUCCUUUUUCAGCAGCCUAUAUAUUUGAGGUGGCUUGAUUUCAAUAUUAUAUGGGAACAAAACUGAAAGUCUUUCGUCCAACUCCUCAUCACUGUCCAUUUCGACAAUCCUUGAUCCGAGGACUAGCACUGGCCCUUCAAGCUUGUUUAGUAAUUUUUCAAACAGGAGAUACAUUUUUGGGGACUUGUGAAGAAACUUCUCGACAUCUCUUAUGUAGAGUACAAUGGGAUACUUUUUAGACACUGAAUGCAGAACCUUGUACAGUGCUUGUACUAAAAUUUUCUCAUCGAAAUUCCAACUGCUAGCACGCCUGAGAGGAGCUGCAUUGUUUAUCAAACACCAUCACAAAAACAGAAAAGGUGCAUAAGCAACGCAAGAAAUUACAAAGGUCAUAAAUUAAUACCACAGCCAUGUUUUGACAUGCUAAGCAUGUAAGCAGCUAAAGACAGAAGGUUGUAUUAAGAUAUACUCCGUACACAUACGACAAUGUUAUCAAAGAGGUAAUUUUUCCUUCAAGGAAAAAAAGGUCGAAUUUAAUGCUAACAUAGUUUCUAAGCCAGCUCAUAAAUGCUGAACAGGAAAAAGUAAGAAUUUUAUUCAGGGACAUAGCUUUAGUCAUGUGCGACUAUUGCGACUAAGUAUGUAGAAAGAGCAUCUUAUAACCUGUAUU